AAUAGGAGCGGAUAAUUCGCCACCUAUGCGGCAAACACUGCGCAUAUUCAAUUUCACUGCACUAACGGGCGAACAGCUGCAUGAUACCACAGCUUACAGAGGUUAUUCUGUGAUCUGUGCAUGAUACAAACGAGUACUGAACGUCAAAUUAAUUUGAAGGCCUUCCGCUACGAUCUAUAUGUGGUUUUGCUGACGAUUUUAAGUUUGGAAAACUUAGGAAAAGAGCUGCAGCAAGCUUAAGUUUUGAACCUGCUUUUGGCAAGUUGCAAACCUUUAUUCCUUAUAAGGAAUAAACGGCACGGGGGCACAUAGCUUGAGCCCAAACACAAAGCUUGUGCAAAUAGCACGAGUAGAAGUAUUCCUUGUAAGUAGUAAACAAUGGUUGCAACUAUGUCACGACAACAAACAUUCGCCCAUAACUUGCUUAAAAUAAUGUAGGAUCUAUUUUCGAAUCUUGAAUGAUGAAUGUUGAUGAUAUGAAACUUUAUUUCCAAUUUUACAGCUGUUCGUAUCAGUAUUGUAAACCGUAAACUUUACACCGUAUUUUUAUAUUGCUGAAUUCGCUCUUAAAAGUUGUAAACAAUCUAGAAUAAACUCUUCAACCAGUAA